rnacentral:snRNA from 1 species
GUAGCUGCUCUGUCUUUUGGCCAAGAUCAAGUGUAGUAUCUAUUCUUGCCAGUUUAGCCUCUGAUGUGUUUCCUAUUCAAGGACAAUGUAUUAAAUGGACAUUUGGAGCAGGAAGAUGGAAUAGGAGCCUGCUCCAUUCACUCCAAGUGUAGGUCUGGCACUGCACCACCCCCAGGAAUGGUGCAUGUCUU